CGUUAGCGGCGGACGGGUGAGUAACACGUGGGUAACCUACCUAUAAGGCUGGGACAACUUCGGGAAACCGGAGCUAAUACCGGAUAAGAUAUCGAACCGCAUGGUUCGAUAGUGAAAGAUGGUUUUGCUAUCACUUAUAGAUGGACCCGCGCCGUAUUAGCUAGUUGGUGAGGUAACGGCUCACCAAGGCAACGAUACGUAGCCGACCUGAGAGGGUGAUCGGCCACACUGGAACUGAGACACGGUCCAGACUCCGUACGGGAGGCAGCAGUU
rnacentral:rRNA from 1 species